CCUACGGGAGGCAGCAGUGGGGGAUAUUGCACAAUGGUGGAAACCCUGAUGCAGCGACGCCGCGUGAGUGAAGAAGUCUUUCGGUAUGUAAAGCUCUAUCAGCAGGGAAGAAAAUGACAGUACCUGACCAAGAAGCCCCGUCUAACUACGUGCCAGCAGCCGCGGUAAUACGUAGGGGGCAAGCGUAAUCCGGAUUUACUGGGGGUAAAGGGGGCGUAGGCGGUGAUGUAAGUCUGGAGGGAAAGCCCGGGGCCCAACCCCGGGACGGCUUUGGAAACUGGGUAACUGGAGUAGGGGAGAGGCAGGCGGAAUUCGUGGUGUAGCGGUGAAAUGCAUAGAUAUCAGGAGGAACACCGACGGCGAAGGCAGCCUACUGGACUGAGACUGACGUUGAGGCUCGAAAGCGUGGGGAGCGAACAGGAUUAGAUACCCCUGUAGUC
rnacentral:rRNA from 1 species